rnacentral:rRNA from 1 species
UACGUAGGGUGCGAGCGUUAAUCGGAAUUACUGGGCGUAAAGCGUGCGCAGGCGGUUCGCCAAGUCAGGUGUGAAAGUCCAGGGCUCAACCCUGGAAUGCCGGUGGAUACUGCGGGGCUAGAGUCCGGAAGGGGCGAGUGGAAUUCCUGGUGUAGCGGUGAAAUGCGCAGAUAUCAGGAGGAACACCAAUGGCGAAGGCAGCUCGCUGGGACGUGACUGACGCUGAGACGCGAAAGCGUGGGGAGCAAACAGG